rnacentral:rRNA from 1 species
AGCGAACGCUGGCGGCAGGCCUAACACAUGCAAGUCGAACGAACCCUCCGUGGUUAGUGGCGGACGGGUGAGUAACACGGGGGAACGUGCCGUUAGGUACGGAAUACCUCAGGGUAACUUGUGCUAAUACCGAAUGUGCCCUUCGGGGGAAAGAUUUGUCGGCCUUAGAGCGGCCCGCGACCGUUUAGCCAGUUGGUUGAGGUAAUGGCGCUGCAAGGUGAGGUACUGUACCUGGUCAGAGCGGAAGAGCAGCCACAUUGGGAGUGAGACACGGCCCAAAAUCCUGCGGGAGGGGGCAGAGGGGAAUCUUGCGCAAUGGGCGAAAGGCUGACGCAGCCAUGCCGCGUGAAUGAUGUAGGUCUUAGGAUUAUAAAAUUCUUUCACCGGGGACGAUAAUGACGGUACCCGGAGAAGAAGCCCCGGCUAACUUCGUG